GUUUAUGGUCAACAGCCACGUCAUCGUAUUCAACAAGCCAAGUCAGCAUUUUGUGGGACCCAAUGAAGUUAGACUGGAUUGGAGACUCAACAAUCUUUGUUGAUAAAAUUGCAAAAUAUAUAACAUAUGAAUAUGAAAGUGAUAAUAGCAUAAGUAAUGGGUACUGUUUUCUACUUUUUUAAUUUUGUAGGGGCCUAUAUGACAAUCUGGAGAAGCAAAGUGGACCCAGAUGCAAUUAAUGAUAGUAGUAGUAAUAUCUACUAGAUUAGUUCAAAUUUGGAAAAUUAAGAAAAAUGACAUAUAUAGAGAAUGUAAUUUUCCCCAUUUUGAUGAGGAAAUCUGAAAUUGCUCUUCUUUAUAUGGUGAUAUAUAUGAUAAUCUAUUGUCAUUUGUACAUAAUGUUUUUGAUAUAUAAGUUUAAUUAAUAUUUCUAAAUUGCUCUACUAAUUGGUAUUAUAUUAUGUGAGAAUAAAUAUUUCAUAUAAACCUGACAAGUAAAUAUAAUCAAACACAUUAUUAAACAUUUUGAUUCGAG
rnacentral:lncRNA from 1 species